rnacentral:rRNA from 1 species
UUAAAGAGUUCUAUAACUCCCAAACCCAUGUGAACAUACCUAACGUUGCCUCGGCAGGUCGCACCUACCUUGUAGCACCCUACCCUGUAGGGCCUACCCGGGAGGUGCGGGUAAGCCUGCCGGCGGCCCACCAAACUCUGUUUGAUAUUGAAUUCUGAACCUAUAACUAAAUAAGUUAAAACUUUCAACAACGGAUCUCUUGGUUCUGGCAUCGAUGAAGAACGCAGCGAAAUGCGAUAAGUAAUGUGAAUUGCAGAAUUCAGUGAAUCAUCGAAUCUUUGAACGCAUAUUGCGCCCAUUAGUAUUCUAGUGGGCAGGACCGUUCGAGCGUCAUUUCAACCCUUAAGCCUUCGUUGCUUAGUGUUGGGAGCCUACGGCAACGUAGCUCCUCAAAGUUAGUGGCGGAGUUGGUUCACACUCUAGACGUAGUAAUUUUUUAUCUCGCCUAUUAGUUGGACUAAUCCCCUGCCGUAAAACCCCCAAUUUAUCAAGGUUGACCUCGAAUCGGUUCAGACAAACUCGCUAAAUUGAAGCAUCUUAGUCAGCGAAGGAAAAGAAACCAACAGGGAUUGCCCUAGUAACGGCGAGUGAAGCGGCAACAGCUCAAAUUUGAAAUCUGGCCCUCGGGUCCGAGUUGUAAUUUGUAGAGGAUGCUUUUGGCGCGGUGCCUUCCGAGUUCCCUGGAACGGGACGCCUUAGAGGGUGAGAGCCCCGUACGGUUGGACA